rnacentral:rRNA from 1 species
CAAGUCGCACGGGCGUAGCAAUACGUCAGUGGCGAACGGGUGAGUAAUGAAUCGCUAAUGUACCCCGGACUCCGGGAUAGCUGCCCGAAAGGGCAGGUAAUACCGGAUGACAUACUCGACAGGCAUCUGUUGAGUCUCAAAGGUCCGCCGGUCUGGGCGCAGGCGAUUUCGUAUCAGCUAGUUGGUGCGGGUAACGGCCCACCAAGGCGACGACGCGUAGCCGGACUGAGAGGUUGGCCGGCCACAUCGGGACUGAGACACUGCCCGGACUCCUACGGGGGGCUGCAGUAACGAAUCUUCCCCAAUGCACGAAAGUGUGAGGGAGCGACGCCGCGUGUGGGACGAAGUCCUUCGGGAUGUAAACCACUGUCAGGGGGUACCAAGUUCUGAGGACCCCCAGAGGAAGAGGCGGCUAACUCUGUGCCAGCAGCCGCGGUAAGACAGAGGCCUCGAGCGUUAGGCGGAAUCACUGGGCUUAAAGCGUGUGUAGGCGGACUUCUAAGUGUCUUGUGAAAUCCCACGGCUCAACCGUGGAACUGCUGGGCAUACUGGAAGUCUUGGGCCAUUCAGGGGCGACUGGAACAAGCGGUGGAGCGGUGAAAUGCGUAGAUAUCGCUUGGAACGCCGAAGGUGAAAACAGGUCGCUGGGGAUGUGCCGACGCUGAGACACGAAAGCCAGGGGAGCAAACGGGAUUAGAUACCCCGGUAGUCCUGGCCCUAAACGAUGUCCACUAGAUUAUGGCGCCUUUGACGGCGUCAUGGUCGAAGCAAAAGUGUUAAGUGGACCGCCUGGGAAGUACGGUCGCAAGGCUAAAACUCAAAGGAAUUGACGGGGGCUCACACAAGCGGUG